AUUGAACGCUGGCGGCAGGCCUAACACAUGCAAGUCGAGCGGAUGAAGGGAGCUUGCUCCUGGAUUCAGCGGCGGACGGGUGAGUAAUGCCUAGGAAUCUGCCUGGUAGUGGGGGAUAACGUCCGGAAACGGGCGCUAAUACCGCAUACGUCCUGAGGGAGAAAGUGGGGGAUCUUCGGACCUCACGCUAUCAGAUGAGCCUAGGUCGGAUUAGCUAGUUGGUGGGGUAAAGGCCUACAAAGGCGACGAUCCGUAACUGGUCUGAGAGGAUGAUCAGUCACACUGGAACUGAGACACGGUCCGGACUCCUACGGGAGGCAGCAGUGGGGAAUAUUGGACAAUGGGCGAAAGCCUGAUCCAGCCAUGCCGCGUGUGUGAAGAAGGUCUUCGGAUUGUAAAGCACUUUAAGUUGGGAGGAAGGGCAGUAAGUUAAUACCUUGCUGUUUUGACGUUACCAACAGAAUAAGCACCGGCUAACUUCGUG
rnacentral:rRNA from 1 species